GCUCCACCCUCUCAUCCAAAUAUGGUCACAUCUGGCUCCAAAAAUCCAAGAUGGCGAUGGUCAAAUCCAAGACGGUCAAAUUGCUAAACUCCAGGCUUCAAAACAGUAGUGCACAAACCAAUGGGUGAUGUCACAAACCCUACCGUCUUUUUUCAUCCAUUGGUCCAACUCUUCCAUCUCUAACUCCAAAACAGAGGGCACGUCUUCUUCAAACAUGGGCCUAAAAGGGACACAAAAUGUUUGAGAAAUCAAUGAGACUCAAAAACCAGAUAAAAAGUGUUCACCAUUAUCUUCUGCCACCAGCAGUUGGUUUCAGCUGAACAUUGUGUUGCUAGUAGCAACCACUACUGGCCAUUUUGUCUUAUCUGUGUUGAAGCAAAUAUUGACCAGCAUAUUUCAUCUACUCCACAAAUGGCUCUUGUUGUAGCAUACUCUUUUUUAAUAUAGCUGUUUUGUGUCUGCUGAUUUGUUCUUUGUUAAUUUAGUUUUUCUGCAACCAGUUUAGGCUACAGCUAACCAAGCUAGCCAUGAGCAUUAAGCUAGCUGUAACUUAUGUUGCUAAUACAAAAUAAGUUAAUUUUCUGUUCGGCUACUUUUGAUGUUAUGCAUCUUGCUCUUUUUGCUGUUAGUCCUCUAUUUACUAGAUAAAUUACUGUGUUUUACUACUUCUUAUGGCAACUUAAUAAUGUUCUUUUCUCCUAGCAUGAGGGACAGUGUAGGCUAAUUUGGGUUGUGAAUCAGUUUCCUUGUUACUGUGCCAAUUUGUUUUUACAAUACUCUCAGUCUAACUCCUGUUUAUGAUAUCUUAUCUUUACUGAUUUUAAAGUCCCAUCUUUGAAUUAAUUGUGUUUUAUGAGAAACUGUUUUCACAGUUUCUCAAUUGCUUACAGUAACAACUUUAAAGGCCACCCGCUGUCUUCAACUGUUAUUGGAAACAACUAUGAUGGCAAUGAUAACCACCACCAGCACCACAGGGAUCAUGAUGAUGAUGGGACUCAAACCCUCCUCAUCCAGUGGUGUGAAGGGCGUAGAGGUAUCGUCUGUAGAUGGAAAGAUAUUUCAGCAAAAAAAAGCACCAUGUAGAAAAAAUGCUGUACCUGUGACUUCACUGCCAUCUGAGGAAGG